GUGGGAAGGUUAGCAAUAGGGUAAUACUGUAGCUCCACCUCCUUACUCUGUGAUAGCUGGAAUUUCUGCAAUAAUGUUUAAAGGUCAACUGGCCCUUAGAACCAACUUCUCUGGUUUUAAAUGGCCUAUGUGGCAUCGAUAUGAGUCAAACAUGAAUUAUAGUGUCAAAAUUGUGAGUUCGUCAUGAUUUACUAGAGGGUUGGGUAUGGAUUAUUCACAUGCCCACUUUUACCAAUGAUGCCCAAUUGCCCAGAGACUACACGUUGUGGUCCGCCCCCAGCUGCCAUGUGGACAUUUUGUUGUCAAGUCUGCAUAUGGGUGCAACGCACGCACAUUUAGCUCGGCAAAAAGGACUGAAAAUGGGCAUCCAUAAAGCUGAUGCAAACUUCCAUGCAUUUCAACAAUAUUGCCAGAUGGCCAGGAAUGGAUUACCUACGACACAGUAAUUUCUGAUGCCUGUCAAUCGUCAAACCACUGAUGUUGCAGCAUCGUGAGAACCCCCCCCCCAUAGCAGGAGCUAUUUCAGAAGGCUGAGGCAGUGGCCAGACACCAGUCCCUCUUCAGAGUAAUGGAGGACACUUGAAUCAGGAGCUGGGUCGGAUAUAGGAGCCGAAGUCAGGCUCCUUCUAGACCAGUAUCUAUGAUGAGAGGGGCCUGGAGCAGAUAUACGCUGCCAUCCCCAGCAGGCAUUUGCAAACACCUUAGAAGGGACAUAAGAUGGGCAGAAUAUAUGCUUUUUAAAUGGAGUCCUCUGACUGACAGGUUGAUACUGAUGUCUGAAUUGGCACCCAGCAUUACAAUUAUACAAGACAUCUAUUACUUUC